rnacentral:rRNA from 1 species
ACGCUCGACACCUACGGGGGGCAGCAGUGGGGAAUAUUGCACAAUGGGGGAAACCCUGAUGCAGCGACGCCGCGUGAGCGAAGAAGUAUUUCGGUAUGUAAAGCUCUAUCAGCAGGGAAGAAACUGACGGUACCUGACUAAGAAGCACCGGCUAAAUACGUGCCCGCAGCCGCGGUAAUCUGAGCGGGCUGGCAAGGC